ACGUACCUUUUGGUUCGGAACAACUGAGGGAAACUUCAGCUAAUACCGGAUAAGCCCUAACGGGGAAAGAUUUAUCGCCGAAAGAUCGGCCCGCGUCUGAUUAGCUAGUUGGUAGGGUAAUGGCCUACCAAGGCGACGAUCAGUAGCUGGUCUGAGAGGAUGAUCAGCCACAUUGGGACUGAGACACGGCCCAAACUCCUACGGGAGGCAGCAGUGGGGAAUAUUGGACAAUGGGCGCAAGCCUGAUCCAGCCAUGCCGCGUGAGUGAUGAAGGCCCUAGGGUUGUAAAGCUCUUUUGUACGGGAAGAUAAUGACGGUACCGUAAGAAUAAGCCCCGGCUAACUUCGUGCCAGCAGCCGCGGUAAUACGAAGGGGGCUAGCGUUGCUCGGAAUCACUGGGCGUAAAGGGUGCGUAGGCGGGUUUUUAAGUCAGAGGUGAAAUCCUGGAGCUCAACUCCAGAACUGCCUUUGAUACUGAAAGUCUUGAGUAUGGGAGAGGUGAGUGGAACUGCGAGUGUAGAGGUGAAAUUCGUAGAUAUUCGCAAGAACACCAGUGGCGAAGGCGGCUCACUGGCCCAUAACUGACGCUGAGGCACGAAAGCGUGGGGAGCAAACAGGAUUAGAUACCNUGGUAGUCCACGCCGUAAACGAUGAAUGCCAGCCGUUAGUGGGUUUACUCACUAGUGGCGCAGCUAACGCUUUAAGCAUUCCGCCUGGGGAGUACGGUCGCAAGAUUAAAACUCAAAGGAAUUGACGGGGGCCCGCACAAGCGGUGGAGCAUGUGGUUUAAUUCGACGCAACGCGCAGAACCUUACCAGCCCUUGACAUGUCUAUGACCGGUACCAGAGAUGGAACCUUCCCUUCGGGGCAUAGAGCACAGGUGCUGCAUGGCUGUCGUCAGCUCGUGUCGUGAGAUGUUGGGUUAAGUCCCGCAACGAGCGCAACCCCCGUCCUUAGUUGCUACCAUUUAGUUGAGCACUCUAAGGAGACUGCCGGUGAUAAGCCGCGAGGAAGGUGGGGAUGACGUCAAGUCCUCAUGGCCCUUACGGGCUGGGCUACACACGUGCUACAAUGGCGGUGACAAUGGGAUGCAAAGGGGCGACCCCUCGCAAAUCUCAAAAAGCCGUCUCAGUUCGGAUUGAGCUCUGCAACUCGAGCCCAUGAAGUUGGAAUCGCUAGUAAUCGUGGAUCAGCAUGCCACGGUGAAUACGUUCCCGGGCCUUGUACACACCGCCCGUCACACCAUGGGAGUUGGUUCUACCUGAAGGCAGUGCGCUAACCCGCAAGGGGGGCAGCUGACCACGGUAGGGUCAGCGACUGGGG
rnacentral:rRNA from 1 species